UACGAAGGGGGCUAGCGUUGUUCGGAAUUACUGGGCGGAAAGCGCGCGCAGGCGGCUAUCCAAGUCAGUGGUGAAAGCCCGGAGCUCAACUCCGGAACUGCCAUUGAAACUGUUUAGCUGGAGUAUGAGAGAGGUGAGUGGAAUUCCCAGUGUAGAGGUGAAAUUCGUAGAUAUUGGGAAGAACACCGGUGGCGAAGGCGGCUCACUGGCUCAUUUCUGACGCUCAGGCGCGACAGCGUGGGGAUCAAACAGG
rnacentral:rRNA from 1 species